CACAGCACGAGAUGACCCAAUAACCCGAACUCCUACGUCGUUCGGGUUAUUGGGUCAUCUCGUGCUACGUCGUUCGGGUUAUUGGGUCAUCUCGUGCUGUG
rnacentral:sRNA from 1 species